rnacentral:rRNA from 1 species
GUAGGGAGCGAGCGUUGUCCGGAAUUACUGGGUGUAAAGGGAGCGUAGGCGGGAUCUUAAGUCAGGUGUGAAAACUAUGGGCUCAACCCAUAGACUGCACUUGAAACUGAGGUUCUUGAGUGAAGUAGAGGCAGGCGGAAUUCCUAGUGUAGCGGUGAAAUGCGUAGAUAUUAGGAGGAACAUCAGUGGCGAAGGCGGCCUGCUGGGCUUUUACUGACGCUGAGGCUCGAAAGCGUGGGGAGCAAACAGGAUUAGAUACCCUGGUAGUCCACGCUGUAAACGAUGAUUACUAGGUGUGGGGGGAUUGACCCCUUCCGUGCCGCAGUUAACACAAUAAGUAAUCCACCUGGGGAGU